rnacentral:rRNA from 1 species
UACGAAGGGUGCAAGCGUUACUCGGAAUUACUGGGCGUAAAGCGUGCGUAGGUGGUUUGUUAAGUCUGAUGUGAAAGCCCUGGGCUCAACCUGGGAAUUGCAUUGGAUACUGGCAGGCUAGAGUGCGGUAGAGGAUGGCGGAAUUCCCGGUGUAGCAGUGAAAUGCGUAGAGAUCGGGAGGAACAUCUGUGGCGAAGGCGGCCAUCUGGACCAGCACUGACACUGAGGCACAAAAGCGUGGGGAGCAAACAGG